AUUCUGGUUGAUCCUACCAGUAAUAUACGCUUGUCUCAAAGGUUAAGCCAUGCAUGUCUAAGUACAAACAGAUUUAAUGUGAAACCGCAUAAGGCUCAGUAUAACAGCUAUAAUUUAUUUUGUGCGAUUGGCCAAAAGUUCUAGAAAAUAUUGUGGAUUUGACAUCUAGUGAAAUGGUUCCCAAAAUAGCAUAGACCAUGGACUUACCAGUAAUGCCAGAUACCUCCAAGAAUCUUAUAUGGAAUGUUAAAAAAAUAGCUUUCAUAUUCUGGAAUAUUGUAUCUUUUGUUAACUGCCAAAUAAUCUUGAAUCGAUUAACAAAUGGAUAAAAAAAAUCAGCAAGAUGCACUUUGUCUAAUAUCUCUUAAUCAGUCGAAUAAAUUAACUCCGAAGUACUUGGUAUUCAUGGUUAUGGUGUUGAAAGCACAAAAAUGAUACAUCUACUAAGUUAAUCAGUUUUGGCAUUAACUAGUUAUUUUGGCUGUACAGUUCUUGCAUUUUUCCCACAAUAUAUAAAUUUAA
rnacentral:ncRNA from 1 species